UAACCUAUAACUUGAUUUCCAUUUUCGUUGAAUUUCGUUCCAUCUUCCUUAUCCAUUGUCUAAAAAAUUGGCUUGUUGUUGAAGUUGUUGAUAUCUUUGAUUUGAUUUUGUUACAGUUUAAAUAACUUACUAGCUUAUAAAAACUUGAAAAUUAUUGUAAUCUUUCAUCCUUUAAUAUGGUAAUCCUAAGCAAUUUGCCACCACCCUCCGUGGGAAUAAGACUGGAGCAACCUAGUACAAGAGUUAUCGUUGACAACAGAGAAAUUGGGAAAGGCACACUGUUUAUAGCAGAAUCUAGUCUGUCGUGGGUCAACAGUGAGACAAACACAGGCUUCUCUCUGUGUUAUCAGAAUAUAUCUUUGCACGCUAUUUCUCGAGAUCUCAAUGCAAGACCCUAUGAAUGUCUAUACGUUAUGGUGGAUACCUGUUUGGAUGAAGGCCAAAAUGGCGGCAACGAUAACGAGGAUGAUGAUGAUGAGGAGGAGGAGAAGCCCGAGUACACGGAGAUGUACUUUGUGCCGGACGACUCGAGUCGGCUCAACGACAUGUUCACGGCGAUGAACGAGUGUCAGGCGCUCAACCCGGACCCGGAAGACAGUCUGUCCCACGAGGAGGAUGAAGACGAGGAGGACGAGUUCGAGGAUGCCGACUCGGAGGGGGAGUACACCGUCUGCAACGGGAAAGCUGGUGGCUAGGGUAUCGUCUGAGCACUUCCAAAGAUGCCUUCAGAGUUCUUGAGAAGAUAGCUGAUACGGAUACCGGUAACUCAUCAGUCAGGACCAACGGCUCAAGGAACAUAAUCGAACCAAUGGACAUAGAGGAAGGCCAAUUCGAGGACGCAGACAGUUCGCCGGAAAAUUGAACGAUUUUUGAAAAAUUGUAAAUUUCCAACCCAGUUGGAUACUAACUACUGCUCUGUCAACUUGAGAACACUGCAGGUUUCCUUUAGAGUUUAAGCUGUUUUAGAUUGUAACCAACCAAAGUUUGUAGGGAUUUAUCUGUUCUGUUGAUUUUUGUAAUGAAUUGUACGUCAUUCAUAGAUAGGGGAGACUAAGCGAUACAAUAGUAUUCAUUAUUUGCCUAUACAAAUGAAUACAUUAAGGCUUAACUCACACUUACGCGACUCAGGUCGAGAAGAGACUCGACUCUAGUCGAGAGCAUGUGUUUCCAAAUGGUGACACUCAGACCAGUCGUUUCCAGUCUCCGCGACGUCACCCAUUUGAAAACACAUGCUCUCGACUUGAGUCGAGUCUCUUCUCGACCUGAAUCGCGUAAGUGUGAGUUAAGCCUAAAUCAGCUGUAGACUCGUAUAGGGUCAAAGCAUAGUGGAUCAGCGAAUGUAGAGUGGUAUCAGAGAAGGUAGCUGAGAGAGUUUGAACAAUGUCCCUAUUUUCACCGCUCCAAUAUGUUCUGAAACAUUGAAUUAUAAAUUAAAUAUUGAAUUAUAAACAUGCAUUAUUUUCAACACUCUGAUAGACAUAGUGGAUCAGCGAAUGUAGAGUGGUAUCAGAGAAGUUAGCUGAGAGAGCUUGAAUAAUGCCCCUAUUUUCACCGCUCCAAUAUGUUCUAAAACAUUUGAAUUAUAAAUUAAUUAUUGAAUUAUAAACAUGCAUUAUUUUCAACACUCUGAUAGACUUUACCUUCGCCACUCCACUAGGUUUCAACAUAGAGAAAAGAUAGUACAAGAA